UACGUAGGGUGCAAGCGUUGUCCGGAAUUAUUGGGUACGGUAAGGGCGCGUAGGCGGUUGGAUAAGUUCUUGGUGUGAAAUACCUUCGGGCUCAACGUCGAAGUACUGGCACGAGAAACUAUCUGGCUUGAGUGUGGGAGAGGUGAGUGGAAUUCCUGGUGUAGCGGUGAAAAUGCGUAGAUAUCAGGAGGAACACCUGUGGCGAAACGGCUCACUGGACC
rnacentral:rRNA from 1 species